UUUCAUCCUUUCAUAAAAGUCAUUCAAACAAAAUAUCACAACAAACUUGCAAUCAUAUUCGGGGCUUCAAAACAGCCCCUAACUACUUAAAAUUUAGUUACACAUAAUUCACAAAUUAAACCAAAUGUUAAACAUGAGUUUGAGAAGAUAAAACCAAGAAAAAUAGAGUGAAGCCUCGUCUUCUUUUCCUGUGCCGUGCCUCCUCCUUUGUAUUGCUGUGCUACUGACUUCC
rnacentral:lncRNA from 1 species